UACGGAAGGCAGCAGUGGGGAAUAUUGCACAAUGGGCGCAAGCCUGAUGCAGCCAUGCCGCGUGUAUGAAGAAGGCCUUCGGGUUGUAAAGUACUUUCAGCGGGGAGGAAGGCGGCGGAGUUAAUAGCUUCACCGAUUGACGUUACCCGCAGAAGAAGCACCGGCUAACUCCGUGCCAGCAGCCGCGGUAAUACGGAGGGUGCAAGCGUUAAUCGGAAUUACUGGGCGUAAAGCGCACGCAGGCGGUCUGUCAAGUCGGAUGUGAAAUCCCCCGGGCUUAACCUGGGAACUGCAUUCGAAACUGGCAGGCUAGAGUCUUGUAGAGGGGGUAGAAUUCCAGGUGUAGCGGUGAAAUGCGUAGAGAUCUGGAGGAAUACCGGUGGCGAAGGCGGCCCCUGGACAAGACUGACGCUCAGGUGCGAAAGCGUGGGGAGCAAACAGGAUUAGAUACC
rnacentral:rRNA from 1 species